AAGGUACAGACAUGGCCAAGUCCACGAACCACACCACACACAACCAGUCCUGAAAAUGGCACAGAAAUGGUGGGCUCCAGGUUCCUGAGGAACAUGCACUUUGCCAAGAAGCACAAGAAGGGCCUAAAGAAGAUGCAGGCCAACAAUGCCAAGGCAAUGAGUGCACUUGCUGAGGCUAGCAGGGCCCUCGUAAAGCCCAAGGAGGUUAAGCCCAAGAUCCCAAAGGGUGUCAGCUGCGAACUCGAUUGACUUGCCUACAUUGUCCACCCCAAGCUUGGGAAGUGUGCUUGUGUCCGCAUUGCCAAGGGGCUCAGACUGUGUGGGCCAAAGGCCAAGGAUCAACCAAGGCCCAGGCUGCAGCUCCAGCUUCAGUUCCAGCUCAGGCUCCUCCCAAAGGCUCUCAGGCCCCUACAAAGGCUUCGGAGUAG
rnacentral:lncRNA from 1 species